CUGGUUGAUCCUGCCAGUAGUCAUAUGCUUGUCUCAAAGAUUAAGCCAUGCAUGUCUCAGUGCAAGCCGCAUUAAGGUGAAACCGCGAAAGGCUCAUUAAAUCAGUUGUGGUUCCUUAGAUCGUACCCAAGUUACUUGGAUAACUGUGGUAAUUCUAGAGCUAAUACAUGCCGACAGAGUUCCGACCGUCGCGGCGCCCCCGGGCGUCGCGUGCGGGAGGAACGCUUUUAUUAGAUCAAAACCGGCCCGUCGCGGCGCGCUUCGCGCGCGUCCCGAUCGCGGCCCGCGCAAAGACCUGGUGACUCUGAAUAACUUCGAGCUGAUCGCACGGUCUCCGUACCGGCGACGCAUCUUUCAAAUGUCUGCCUUAUCAACUGUCGACGGUAGGUUCCAUGCCUACCGUGGUGGUAACGGGUAACGGGGAAUCAGGGUUCGAUUCCGGAGAGGGAGCCUGAGAAACGGCUACCACAUCCAAGGAAGGCAGCAGGCGCGCAAAUUACCCACUCCCGGAACGGGGAGGUAGUGACGAAAAAUAACGAUACGGGACUCAUCCGAGGCCCCGUAAUCGGAAUGAGAACACUUUAAAACCUUUAAACGAGGAUCAAUUGGAGGGCAAGUCUGGUGCCAGCAGCCGCGGUAAUUCCAGCUCCAAUAGCGUAUAUUAAAGUUGUUGCGGUUAAAAAGCUCGUAGUCGGAUCUGUGUCUGGGCGGUGCCGGACCACCCUGGCGGU
rnacentral:rRNA from 1 species